CAUCCACCCGGGUCUACAAGAAACCUCCACGGCCGAGCCUCAACCACAGAACACACCGCUACCGUUGAUGAGGUUCCACACCCCGGACUACCGCCAUGUUAGCCUCCAUAAUAGUCCUCGGCGCACUUGUUCUGAGACGUCCUGACUGGAGAGCUACACAACACUGGUCAUCCGCUGAGUGGUUGAAUUCCUGGUCUACCGGCCCCUGGAGGAGUGGUCGAUUGCCUGGUCUACUGUGGAUAUGAGUGGUUGAUUCCCUGGUCUACCCCUGGAUGACGCGGCUGUUCCUAUGCAGGGGAGGACUCACACAAGCGAUAAGCACCUGUUGGACCUGGAGACUCCCCCCUGAGCCUGACGGUGGAGCUGUGGGCCCUGCACCAGACCCCCACACCCCCCCACACCACCCACAGCAGGGGCAGGGCGUUGAGACUCCCCCCACAGGCUAAGACAGGGAGGGACUUGAAGAUCCAGGUUUUUGUCAUCUGCACAGGAAUUGACACAUGAUGUCUAAGGUUCCGCCCAUCCAGCUGAAGGGUGCCAAUGCCUACACAUGCAUCGACCACAGGUGUGCGCUGGACAUUGCCUACAAUUCAUGGUGCAAAUGGAGCGUCGGCGGAGAUCGAGCUGGCUGAAGGUUGGCGGCCGGGUCAAGCUCGCAACAGACAAGGAGUUCUGUGAGAUGUGCUCGGCUGAUGAUGUUGACCUCGGCCACAUCAAUGUUACAAAGGUGGUGAAGGUGUGGAAACUACAUCUACAUUGACGACGGACUCAAGGAGAUCGCUGAGACUACUACUACUAUUACUAUUACUACUCUCUAUACUGCUAUGUGUACUAUUAAAUCCUC